UACGAAGGGGGCUAGCGUUGCUCGGAAUCACUGGGCGUAAAGGGUGCGUAGGCGGGUCUUUAAGUCAGGGGUGAAAUCCUGGAGCUCAACUCCAGAACUGCCUUUGAUACUGAGGAUCUUGAGUUCGGGAGAGGUGAGUGGAACUGCGAGUGUAGAGGUGAAAUUCGUAGAUAUUCGCAAGAACACCAGUGGCGAAGGCGGCUCACUGGCUCGUAACUGACGCUCAUGCACGACAGCGUGGGGAUCAAACAGG
rnacentral:rRNA from 1 species